rnacentral:rRNA from 1 species
UACGUAGGGGGCAAGCGUUGUCCGGAAUCAUUGGGCGUAAAGAGCGUGUAGGCGGCUCGGUAAGUCCGCUGUAAAAGUCCAGGGCUCAACCCUGGAAAGCCGGUGGAAACUGUCGAGCUAGAGUCCGGAAGAGGCGAGUGGAAUUCCUGGUGUAGCGGUGAAAUGCGCAGAUAUCAGGAGGAACACCAAUGGCGAAGGCAGCUCGCUGGGACGGUACUGACGCUCAUGCACGAAAGCGUGGGGAGCAAACAGG